UAACUACAGCAGUAAAUAUAUUAAAAUUGGAAUUAUAUAGAACGGAUUAGCAUGGCUCCUGGGCAAGGAUGACAUGCAAAAUCAUUAAUAAUUGCAAGAAUGA